ensembl:lncRNA
CACCUCAUGUCUCUAUGUCACAUUUUAGUAAUUUUUGCAAUAUCUCAAACUUUUUCAUUAUUAUUAUAUCUGUUAUGGUAAUCUAUAAUCAGUGAUCUUCCACGUUACUUUCGUAAUUGUUUUGGAGUGCCAAGAACCACACCCACGUAAAAUGGAAAACCUAAUAAAUAUAGUGUUCUGACUGUUCCACCAACAGGCUGUUCCCCUCUCUUCCGCUUCUCUAAUCUCUCUAUUCCCUGAGACGCAACAACAUUGAAAUCAGGCCACUUAAUAACCCAAAAUGGCCUGUAAGUAUUCAAGUGAAAGAAAUAAUUAAACAUCUGUCACAUUGAAUCAAAUGCUAGAAAUAAUUAAACUUAGUGAGAAAGGUAUGUGGAAGGUCAAGAUAGACUGAAAGCUAGGCCUCCUGCACCAAACAUGUAAGUUGUGAAUGCAAAGGAAAAGUUCUGGAGGGAAAUUGAAAGUGUUAAUGGGUUCAACACACCAACAUGGCACAUGUAUACGUAUGUAACAAACCUGCACGUUGUGCACAUGUACCCUAGAACUUAAAGUAUAAUAAUAAAAUAAAUAAAAUAAAAUCCAUAAAAAAAAGAAAGUGUUACUCCAGUGAACACAUGACUGAUAAGUAAACAAAACGGGCUUAUUUGUUUUCUACUGGUGUAGUAGAAAGAAUUACAGUCAUGCCCCACUUAAUGACAGGAAUUCAUUCUGAGAAAGGCAUUGUUAGGUGAUUUUCUUGUAUACAAACGUCAUUCCCUUAAGCCAAAGCCUAAUCCACAGUAAGGCCCUAACUCUCUUAAUUCUAUGAAGGCUGCAAGAGGUGAAGAAGCUGUAGAAAAGAAGUUUCAAGCUAGCAGAGGUUUAUUCAUGAGGUUUAAGGAAAGAAAUCAUCUCCAUGUCACAAAUGUGCAACUUGAAGCAGCAAGUACUGAUAUAGAAGCCGCAGCAAGUUACCCAGAAGCUCAAGCUAAGAUCAUUGAUGAAGGAAAUUAUCAUAGCCACCUUCAGCAACCACCACUCUGAUCAGUCAGCAGCCAUCAACAUUGAGGCAAGACUCUACCAACAAGAAAUUUUAUUCCAUCAGCUGUUCAAAAUUCACCUUGCUGAGAGCUCAGAUGAUUGUUAGCAUUCUACAGCAAUAAAGUACUUUUAAGUCAAGUAUGUACAUUGUUUUUUAGACAUAGUACUGUUGUUCACUUAAUGAACUACAAUACAAUACAAAUAUAACUUCUAUAUGUACAGGGAAACCAAAAACUUUGUGUGAAUCACUUUAUUGUAACGUUUGCUUUGUUGCACUGGUCUGGAACUGAACCCACAACAUCUCUGAGGUAUUCCUGUAUAGAAUUUGCUCCCCAAAGUGAUCAGAAGUGAUUAAAAUGUCAUUUACUCUUCAUUUUUUAUUAUCUUCUCAAUCCACUGGAAUACGCCAGCCUGUAUCUAUUAUUAGUAACAGUAGAAAAAAAAAUGUUUUUUUUUCAUUGCCGAGUUGAGAGCUUACAUUUCUAUGAGGCUCUGACCUCUGCUGAUAACAUGGAUUUCAACAGAUUUUCCUUUAAUCUAUUUGAGCAUUUAUUAAAUAAGAGAGUGGUGUAGUAGAAAGAAUUAGUCAUGCCCCACUUAAUGAGAGGAAUCCAUUCUGAGAAAGGCAUUGUUAGGUGAUUUUCUUGUAUACAAAUUUCAUAGAGUGUACUUACACAAACCUAUAUGAUUAUACUGUACUACACACCUAGGCUGUAUGGGACAGCUGAUUGCUCCUAGGCUACUAACCUA